UAUGACUGUUGCUCAGAUUAAACCAUUUAAAAGGACUGUUGUCUUUGUCCCAGUCUACAUGCACAGGAGUGUAUUUGAUUUAUUGUUGAAAUAAAUGUUGCCUCCACUAUGAUAAGUGGCAUUUGCACUCUUUCAGCUC